rnacentral:rRNA from 1 species
UACGAGGGGGGCAAGCGUUGUUCGGAUUUACUGGGCGUAAAGCGCACGUAGGCGGAUCGAUCAGUCAGGGGUGAAAUCCCAGAGCUCAACUCUGGAACUGCCUUUGAUACUGUCGAUCUGGAGUAUGGAAGAGGUGAGUGGAAUUCCGAGUGUAGAGGUGAAAUUCGUAGAUAUUCGGAGGAACACCAGUGGCGAAGGCGGCUCACUGGUCCAUUACUGACGCUGAGGUGCGAAAGCGUGGGGAGCAAACAGG